rnacentral:rRNA from 1 species
AGCGAACGCUGGCGGCAGGCCUAACACAUGCAAGUCGAACGGACCCUUCGGGGUUAGUGGCGGACGGGUGAGUAACACGUGGGAACGUGCCUUUAGGUUCGGAAUAGAUCCUGGAAACGGGUGGUAAUGCCGAAUGUGCCCUUCGGGGGAACGAUUUAUCGCCUUUAGAGCGGCCCGCGUCUGAUUCGCUAGUUGGUGAGGUAACGGCUCACCAAGGCGACGAUCAGUAGCUGGUCUGAGAGGAUGACCAGCCACACUGGGACUGAGACACGGCCCUGACUCCUACGGGAGGCAGCAGUGGGGAAUCUUGCGCAAUGGGCGAAAGCCUGACGCAGCCAGGCCGCGUGAAUGAUGAAGGUCUUAGGAUUGUAAAAUUCUUUCACCGGGGACGAUAAUGACGGUACCCGGAGAAGAAGCCCCGGCUAACUUCGUGCCAGCCGCCGCCGUAA